GUCGAACGAGAACGCUCCUUCGGGAGUUAUUAAAGUGGCGCACGGGUGAGGAACGCGUAGGUAAUCUACCCUUUGGCGGGGGACAACAUUCCGAAAGGAAUGCUAAUACCGCGUAAGACCACACUCACUAAGGUGAGAGCGGUUAAAGGUGCCUCAAAGCACCACCAAAGGAUGAGCCUGCGUCCCAUCAGCUUGUUGGUGAGGUAAUGGCUUACCAAGGCGAAGACGGGUAGCUGGUCUGAGAGGAUGAUCAGCCACACUGGCACUGGAACACGGGCCAGACUCCUACGGGAGGCAGCAGUGAGGAAUAUUGGGCAAUGGGCGAAAGCCUGACCCAGCCACGCCGCGUGUGUGAUGAAGGCCUUCGGGUCGUAAAGCACUGUGGGGAGAGACGAACAUGCGCAGGAGGAAAUGCCUGCGUACUGACGGUACCUCCUUAGCAAGCACCGGCUAACUCUGUGCCAGCAGCCGCGGUAAUACAGAGGGUGCAAACGUUGCUCGGAUUUACUGGGCGUAAAGCGCGUGUAGGCGGACUCGCAAGUCGGUUGUGAAAUCCCUGGGCUCAACCUAGGAACUGCAUCCGAAACUGCUUGUCUUGAGUAAUGGAGAGGGUGGCGGAAUUCCCGGUGUAGAGG
rnacentral:rRNA from 1 species